AAACUUGAGAGUUUGAUCAUGGCUCAGAACGUACGCUGGCGGCACGCCUAACACAUGCAAGUCGAACGAAGUAGCAAUACUUAGUGGCAGACGGGUGAGUAACAUGUAGGUAUCUGCCCUUUGGCCUGGAAUAACACGAGGAAACUUGUGCUAAUACCGGAUAAGUCUUUACGGAGAAAGCUUUAUGCACCAUUGGAUGAGCCUGCACUUGAUUAGUUUGUUGGUGGGGUAAUGGCCUACCAAGACUGUGAUCAAUAGCUGAUUUGAGAGGAUGAUCAGCCACAUUGGGACUGAGACACGGCCCAAACUCCUACGGGAGGCAGCAGUGGGGAAUCUUGCACAAUGGAGGAAACUCUGAUGCAGCGAUGCCGCGUGAGUGAAGAAGGCCUUUGGGUUGUAAAGCUCUUUCGUCGGGGAAGAAAAUGACUGUACCCGAAUAAGAAGGUCCGGCUAACUUCGUGCCAGCAGCCGCGGUAAUACGAAGGGACCUAGCGUAGUUCGGAAUUACUGGGCUUAAAGAGUUCGUAGGUGGUUGAAAAAGUUGGUGGUGAAAUCCCAGAGCUUAACUCUGGAACUGCCAUCAAAACUUUUCAGCUAGAGUAUGAUAGAGGAAAGCAGAAUUUCUAGUGUAGAGGUGAAAUUCGUAGAUAUUAGAAAGAAUACCAAUUGCGAAGGCAGCUUUCUGGAUCAUUACUGACACUGAGGAACGAAAGCAUGGGUAGCGAAGAGGAUUAGAUACCCUCGUAGUCCAUGCCGUAAACGAUGUGUGUUAGACGUUGGAAAUUUAUUUUCAGUGUCGCAGCGAAAGCGAUAAACACACCGCCUGGGGAGUACGACCGCAAGGUUAAAACUCAAAUGAAUUGACGGGGACCCGCACAAGUAGUGGAGCAUGUGGUUUAAUUCGAAGAUACGCGCAGAACCUUACCAACACUUGACAUGUUCGUCGCGACUCUAAGAGAUUAGAGUUUUCGGUUCGGCCGGACGAAACACAGGUGCUGCAUGGCUGUCGUCAGCUCGUGUCGUGAGAUGUUGGGUUAAGUCCCGCAACGAGCGCAACCCUCACUUUUAGUUGCCAUCAUUAAGUUGGGCACUCUGAAAGAACUGCCAGUGAUAAGCUGGAGGAAGGUGGGGAUGACGUCAAGUCCUCAUGGCCCUUACGUGUUGGGCUACACACGUGCUACAAUGGUAUCUACAACAGGAAGCAAGACUGCGAAGUUUAGCAAAUCCCUAAAAGAUACCUCAGUUCGGAUUGCACUCUGCAACUCGAGUGCAUGAAGCUGGAAUUACUAGUAAUCGUGGAUCAGCGUGCCACGGUGAAUGCGUUCCCGGGUCUUGUACACACCGCCCGUCACACCAUGGGAGUUGGUUCUACCUUAAGGCAAGGCUUUAAACCCUUGACCACGGUAUAGUCAGCGACUGGGGUGAAGUCGUAACAAGGUAGCCGUAGGGGAACCUGCGGCUGGAUUACCUCCUUU
rnacentral:rRNA from 1 species